AAAAUUAUAACCUUUAUAACUGCUUUCAUAGGGCGAUUCAGAUACUUUGAAAGAGUCUCUCAAUUUAAAAUAGAAUACAGUAAUGACGGAGUCAAAUUCCAAACAUAUUCUGAAAAUGGCGUGCAAAAGAAAUUUGAAGGCAAUUGUGAUCAUCAAACACCAGUGUUAAACCAAUUUAAAACUUCUAUAUCUGCUAGAUAUUUGCGAUAUAUACCAGUAGAAUCUAAUUAUCCUUGCGUAAGAAUGGAGUUUUAUGGAUGUUAAACAUUACAUAUAAACAAAUUGUACUUUAUAGAUAUUAUGAAAAAAUUACUUUUUGA
rnacentral:lncRNA from 1 species